rnacentral:rRNA from 1 species
CUCCAGACUCCUACGGGAGGCAGCAGUGGGGAAUAUUGCACAAUGGGGGGAACCCUGAUGCAGCGACGCCGCGUGGGUGAAGGAGUAUUUCGGUAUGUAAAGCCCUAUCAGCAGGGAAGAACAAUGACGGUACCUGACUAAGAAGCACCGGCUAAAUACGUGCCAGCAGCCGCGGUAAUACGUAUGGUGCAAGCGUUAUCCGGAUUUACUGGGUGUAAAGGGAGCGUAGACGGCGAUGCAAGUCUGAAGUGAAAGGCGGGGGCCCAACCCCCGGACUGCUUUGGAAACUGUAUGGCUGGAGUGCAGGAGAGGUAAGUGGAAUUCCUAGUGUAGCGGUGAAAUGCGUAGAUAUUAGGAGGAACACCAGUGGCGAAGGCGGCUUACUGGACUGUAACUGACGUUGAGGCUCGAAAGCGUGGGGAGCAAACAGGAUUAGAUACCCCAGUA